UACGACGGGGGCUAGCGUUGCUCGGAAUCACUGGGCGUAAAGCGCACGUAGGCGGCUUGUUAAGUCAGGGGUGAAAUCCUGGAGCUCAACUCCAGAACUGCCUUUGAUACUGGCGAUCUCGAGUCCGGGAGAGGUGAGUGGAACUGCGAGUGUAGAGGUGAAAUUCGUAGAUAUUCGCAAGAACACCAGUGGCGAAGGCGGCUCACUGGCCCGGUACUGACGCUGAGGUGCGAAAGCGUGGGGAGCAAACAGG
rnacentral:rRNA from 1 species